GUCGGAUUCACUUAACUUGGUUACCAACUUAACAACUGCAGCGAUUCACUUAACAGCUGCGUCAAGAAAGGUUUUAAAUGUGGCAAAUUCACUUAACAACUGUCUUACUUAGCAACAUAAAUUUUGGGCUGAACUCGAAGACUACCUGUA